GCCCGCGCUCGAGCGGAGGAGGGCGGGGCCGGAAAGGCGUCAUGAGGCGGAGGCAGCAGGCGAGAACCGUCCUCAGAGGCACUUCUAGAUCAGAAGAGCUACCUAUUCUAUCCAGGAGGCUGGGUAGGUGGGCAGUCUGGAUGCAAUGAAAAUGAAAAAGGACCAUCGGUGGCAUGGCAGCUGAGAUGCACCUAAGAAGCAAGGAAUUUAAUGAGAUCCAGCAGACAGAGUGAUGGAAGAUUCCACAAGCAGAGGAAGACUGAAGUGGACCAGGACUGUAUGCUCAUGGAAUAUCUCUUUAUCGUGGCUCUAACAAGCUCCAAGCAUCCUCAAGUACCUGUGCAAAGUCCUGUUGUAGUACACAUGAGUCUACAAGUUC